AGUGAACGCUGGCGGCGUGCCUAAUACAUGCAUGUCGAACGUAGUGGCGCACGGGAGAGUAAUGUAUAGCUAAUCUGCCCUACACUAGAGGACAACAGUUGGAAACGGCAGCUAAUACUCUAUAGUGUAGGAUGAGGCUAUAUUGUAUCAGCUUGUUUGUGAGGUAAUGGCUCACCAAGGCUAUGACGCAUAACUGGUCUGAGAGGUUGAUCAGCCACACUGGAACUGAGACACUGUCCAGACUCCUACGGGCGGCAGCCGUAUGGAAUAUUGCUCAAUGGGGGAAUCCCUGACGCAGCAACGCCGCGUGGAUGAUGACACUUUUCGGAGCGUAAACUCCUUUUGUUAGGGAAGCGGUACCUAACGAAUAAGCACCGGCUACCUCCGUGCCAGCAGCCGCGGUAAUAC
rnacentral:rRNA from 1 species